rnacentral:misc_RNA from 1 species
UACGACGGUUGCAUGCGCUAAUCGGAAUUACCGGGCGUAAAGCGCGCGUAGGUGGUUUGUUAAGUUGGAUGUGAAAGCCCCGGGCUCCACCUGGGAACUGCAUCCAAAACUGGCAAGCUAGAGUAUGGCAGAGGGUGGUGGAAUUUCCUGUGUAGCGGUGAAAUGCGUAGAUAUAGGAAGGAACACCAGUGGCGAAGGCGACCACCUGGGCUAAUACUGACACUGAGGUGCGAAAGCGUGGGGAGCAAACAGG